rnacentral:rRNA from 1 species
CGCUCGACACCUACGGGGGCAGCAGUGGGGAAUAUUGCACAAUGGGGGAAACCCUGAUGCAGCGACGCCGCGUGGAGGAAGAAGGUCUUCGGAUUGUAAACUCCUGUUGUUGGGGAAAAAGAGGAUGGUACCCAACAAGGAAGUGACGGCUAACUACGUGCAAGCAGCCGCGGUAAUCUGAGCGGGCUGGCAAGGC